rnacentral:piRNA from 1 species
UGACUGGCUUGCUCUUCAAGGUGACUU